UACGUAGGGUGCGAGCGUUGUCCGGAAUUAUUGGGCGUAAAGAGCUCGUAGGCGGUUUGUCGCGUCGACUGUGAAAACCUGGGGCUUAACUCUGGGCCUGCAGUUGAUACGGGCAGACUUGAGUUCGGUAGGGGAGACUGGAAUUCCUGGUGUAGCGGUGAAAUGCGCAGAUAUCAGGAGGAACACCAGCGGCGAAAGCGCGCGACUGGGCCAUUACUGACACUCAUGGACGAAAGCUAGGGGAGCGAAAGGG
rnacentral:rRNA from 1 species